AUCAAUUGAGAUUCCCUCAGUAGCGGCGAGCGAACGGGGAAAAGCCCAUUAAGUCAUAUAAGUUCUAGUGGAAUGCUCUGGGAAGUGCAACCAUAGUGGGUGAUAGUCCUGUACACGAAAGGGCUUAUAUGAUGAUGUCGAGUAGGGCGGGGCACGUGAAACCUUGUCUGAAUAUGGGGGGACCAUCCUCCAAGGCUAAAUACUCCUGACUGACCGAUAGUGAACCAGUACCGUGAGGGAAAGGCGAAAAGAACCCCG
rnacentral:rRNA from 1 species